AUCGCGGUCUUUCAGUGGUAAUUGAGCCCUACAUUAGGGUUGGGAGUAUGCACCAGGGUAGGGUUAAGGUUUGGCAAAAUUGGUCUCCUGGCAUCAUUCUGAUGGUUGAAAUGUGUUCAGAGUGGGCAGAAAUGAUGAGCUGUGCAGAAAAAGCUACUCAAGCAGUGCCUUUUCAAAAUCGCGGUCUUUCAUUGGGAAUUGAGCCCUGUAUUAGGGUUGGGAAUAUGCACCAACUUUGGGUUAGGGUUAGACAAAAUUGGUGUCCUGGCUAUAUUUGGGUGGUUGGAAUGUGUUUAGAGUGGGCAGAAAUCAAGAUCUGCCCAAAACAAGCUACUCAAGUAGUGCUUUUCCAAAAUCGCUGUCUUUCAUUGGUAAUUGAGCCCUAAAUUAGGGUUGGGAGUAUGCACCAGGGUAGGGUUAGGGUUAGACCAAAUUGGUGUCCUGGCAUGAUUUUGAACUUUGGAAUGUGUUUAGAGUUGGCAGAAAUGAUGAGCUGUGCAGAAAAAGCUACUCAAGCAGUGACUUUUCAAAAUCGCUGUCUUUCAUUGGUAAUUGAGCCCUACAUUAGUGUUGGGAACAUGCACCGAGGUAUGGUUCGGGUUAGAAAAAAUUUGUGUGCUGGCAUGAUUCUGAUGGUUGGAAUGUGUUUAGAGUUGGCAGAAAGGAUGAGAUGCGCAGAAGAAGCUACUCAAGCAGUGCAUUUUCAAAAUCGCAGUCUUUCAUUGGUAAUUGAGCCCUAAAUUAGGGUUGGGAGUAUGCACCAGGGUAGGGUUGGGGUUAGACAAAAUUGGUGUCCUGGCAUGAUUUUGAUGGUUGGAAUGCGUUUAGAGUUGGAAGAAAAGAUUAGAUGUGCAGAAAAAGCUACUCAAGCAGUGCAUUUUCAAAAUCGCUGUCUUUCAUUGGUAAUUGAGCCCUACAUUAGGGUUGGGAAUAUGCACCAAGGUAGGGUUAGGGGUAGACAAAAUUGGUGUCCUGGCAUGAUUUUGAUGGUUGGAAUGUGUUUAGAGUUGGCAGAAAAGAUGAGGUGCGCAGAAAAAGUUCCUCAAGCAGUGCUUUUUGAAAAUCGCUGUCUUUCAUUGGUAAUUGAGCCCUACAUU